UCGGCUACAGGAGGGAGUGGUUCCAGGACCCCAGUCAAGGCACAGCAACUGUGGGCAGAAGUCCUGCAGUUUGUCCCCUGUUCCAGCUAGGACGAUGUCCUUGGCGGAGGUACCCAGCCAGGGGUACAGUCAUGCUCCUCAAACCAUUCCUUAACAUUUUUUGCAAUGUAGCAGGGUGCAUUAUCUUGCUGAAAGUAUCCACUGCCAUCAGGGAACAC